GAAUUUUCCCCUCUCAAUCUUUUGGACAAUUUUGUUCACAUUUUAAUCUAAAAUAUCUGAGAAUACUGAGGAAUAAUAAGCAUGACUUUCCUUAUCAAUACAUUUUUUACCCGGGGAAAUUUGGCAACAUUCGAAUGUUUGAACGGCGUUGUUACUGUGAACGGCAGCAUUCUGCGCCAUAAAUACUGCGACGAGUGCCGUUGACAGCAUCGCGCCGCACAGUAAAUUGAAUCAAUCAGAGAGGUCGGACAUGAAAUUUUUGACUGAAACUGCAAAUUUUGAUGUUAUAUUCGUCACAUUUUAAAUUUGAAGGGGUGUCUCUGAAAGGAAAUUUUACGAGAAAACCAGUGAAACCACUUUUAUAAUCUCAAAUUGCUGUAUGAACGGAGUUUUUUUUUUUUUUUUUUUUUUGGUUUGAUAACCGGUCUUUAUUAGUAUAUGCUUAUUGAUACAUACAAGUAUAAUAGAGAGCCGGAUAUCUGGCGGGACCCGAGCCUGUACUCGAUUUGCCCACCUGGAGAAAAUUCUCGGCUUUACAUUGUAAAGGGUACUACAAAAUCACUUACAGUGUUAAUACUAAUUUUGUUAAGAAACAAAAAACAACAAACAACAAUCAAAUUUUAGUUACAACUAAUAAACAGGUUAAAAAACCAACUUAGAAUUGGGAAAAAUUCACCCGUUUAGGUACAAUGUUUUAAUCUAAAGAGAUUCUUACUACUUCUGUAGGUUUUAAUUUAGUUAUUCACUUUUCGGUGUUCUUCAGCAAUUUCAUUAUUACUAUAUUUUAGUCAUUGGUUAGAUGACUCUAAACAUUCUACUAUUAAUUAGAUUAUUUUCUCAGGGUGAGAUUUGUAUUGCUACAACGUGUUUAUUUAUUUAUUUAUUUAUUUAUUUAUUUAGCUACUAUUUCUUCUGUUUACUAUUUGGUACUUUACAGUUUGGUUCUACUUUAAGUUGCUUUCACUUUUACUUUUAUUUAUCCUUUGACAUAAGGGGUUCAACUAGAGUAUGAACGGAGUUAUGAGCUUUUAAAGUUUCCAAAUCUUGUCCGACCACUUAUAUUAACUCGAUCCAUUGUGUGCCGCACAGCGCAACUACUUCGUCGGGAAGAAACACUGCAUGAGCAUUUGAGUGCUGUC
rnacentral:lncRNA from 1 species